rnacentral:rRNA from 1 species
GACGAACGCUGGCGGCGUGCCUAAUACAUGCAAGUAGAACGCUGAAACUUGGUGCUUGCACCGAGCGGAUGAGUUGCGAACGGGUGAGUAACGCGUAGGUAACCUGCCUGGUAGCGGGGGAUAACUAUUGGAAACGAUAGCUAAUACCGCAUAAGAGUAGAUGUUGCAUGACAUUUGCUUAAAAGGUGCAAUUGCACCACUACCAGAUGGACCUGCGUUGUAUUAGCUAGUUGGUGGGGUAACGGCUCACCAAGGCGACGAUACAUAGCCGACCUGAGAGGGUGAUCGGCCACCCUGGGACUGAGACACGGCCCAGACUCCUACGGGAGGCAGCAGUAGGGAAUCUUCGGCAAUGGACGGAAGUCUGACCGAGCAACGCCGCGUGAGUGAAGAAGGUUUUCGGAUCGUAAAGCUCUGUUGUAAGAGAAGAACGAGUGUGAGAGUGGAAAGUUCACACUGUGACGGUAUCUUACCAGAAAGGGACGGCUAACUACGUG